GAAAAAGAUAUUUUUAUCUUAAAUCAAGAUCGAUUUAACAUUGAGAUGCAAGUGUUCGGAGAAAAUAUUUGGCCGCGAGUUGUAGUUUUUAGCCUUUUUCGUAGAUAUUGACUUGGUUUUCAAUAGCCAGUAUGAUGAAGUUAAUGUUUUCAGUGUUCACUGCAUGUGUUCAAAGGCCUAUGAAAACGAUUGUUUUUAAAAGUAUUUUAUUAACAACCUUCUUCCUCAAAAUAUGCUUUUCAUUGUAUUAAACAGGGCAUAUCGUCAAAAUACUUGUAAAAUAUGUGCAAUAAUUUAAAAACAUUACUUUUUAAAAUAAAUUUGAACUUAAAUAAAUCUUAUACUAUUAAUAUGUUUUCUCGUGUAGAUUGUACAACUUUGUGACUUCAUUUGGAAGAGUGUGUAUAUUCCAUGUUUUCCUUCCCAAUAGUUAUUGUCGCCUAUAUUAAUCAGGAAGAAAAAUGUUAAUGUGUAUCCCUAAAACGGAUGUUUAUAAUGUUUUUUUUUGUUCUAUUCAUAUUCAUUUUGAUUUUAUUAUCUUGUUCAAAAUAUUAGUUUCAGACAACUAUGUGAUAUAUAAAAAUGAGAAUGCGCUUACAACAUGCAAAAGAAUGAUAUAUGAUAAAAAAGAAAAC
rnacentral:misc_RNA from 1 species